AUGAUCGUCCAGUUCUCCAACGGCGGCGGCAUCUACAACGCCGGCAAGGGCCUCAAGAACGAGAAGGACCAGAAGGUCGCGGCCAUGGGCACGAUCGCGGGCGCGCUCCACGUCCGCGCGAUGGCCGAGGCGUACGGCGUCCCGAUCAUCCUCCACACGGACCACUGCUCCAAGGCUCUCCUUCCGUGGUUCGACCUCCUCAUCGAGGCGAACGAGGAGUACUUCGCCAAGCACGGCGAGCCGCUCUUCUCCUCUCACAUGCUCGACCUCUCCGAGGAGUCCAUCGAGGAGAACAUGGAGAUCUCCGCCAAGUACCUCAAGCGCAUGGCUGCCAUCGGCUGCCACCUCGAGGUUGAGAUCGGCAUCACCGGCGGCGAGGAGGAUGGCGUCGACAACACCGACGUCGCGCAGGAGGACCUCUACUCCAAGCCGGAGGAGAUCCACCAGGUGUACAAGGCUCUCGAGCCGAUCGCGCCGGGCAUGUACUCCAUCGCCGCGGCGUUCGGUAACGUCCACGGCGUGUACUCCCCCGGUAACGUCAAGCUCACCCCCCCGAUCCUCGGCAAC
rnacentral:lncRNA from 1 species